rnacentral:lncRNA from 1 species
GACUCACAACCAAAAAGGCCUGCCUGAACUUCAUAACGUCCACCCCGGGACCACAUUUGACUGUCUUCAUCCUGUGCGGAGAGCAUCCAUUGUCUGCCUUCUGCACGCAGCUGUAGCACUCAAGGGCUUGCGCUCCUGCGGGGGCCCCGACUCUACCUUCCUGGCAACACACCCACCUUCACACAGAAGUAGCGGCAGCAGCAGCAGCCAUCCGGUGGUCCACAUCACUGGCUGUGUAUCUCCUCUCCUGGCGGCUUCCAUAGCUGUGUCCUGCUCUCUCCGCGUUCCCCCUGGGUGUGCCACCUUCCAACCCGGGCCCUCUUACCUGAGCCUCAGAUGAGUAACCUACCCUGGGGCAACCCAGGCCUUGCCCAACCAGGCCAACUCAGCGUCCGCUGUGGGGCGGGCCCGCCUCUAGGAACAAACAAGAUCAUCACACCAAUCAUGCUGUGACUCCACAAGCCCACAUUCUGUUCCUAGGUCCUUGGCUCUGGCUGCCUCCUAGGCAGGAUGUUGUGGCAUGAUGUAAGCCCAUAAUCCCAGCACUCAGAAGGCUGAAGUAAGAGAAUCAUAUGUUCAAGGCCAGUCUGGGCUACAAUGGUGGACCUUCGAGAUUGAUUAGAGGGUAAAAGUGCUCACCACCAAGGCUGACAACCUGAGUUUGGUCCCCAAGACCCACAUCAUGGGAGAGAACACAUUGUCCUCUGACGUCCACAUGUGCCCAGAUGUGCACACAAUAAUAAACAAGAGGGCACUUUUUAAAAAGAGAGAGAAUAUACCAGUCUUUUUAUAAGCAGCCUCUUCAGACAGGUGCACAGUAGCCACUCCUCAGAGGAGGAAACUGAGUCCCGGAGAGAAAGCCACUCUUCUCCACAGGCCAGUGGAGGGGCCUGGUCAGCCCCAACUGGCCAGAUUGGUGACUAUGGUAGUGAAGAGCAGCUGUGUUCAGAGAGAUCUCUGCUGCCCAGCCCCUGCCCAGCACCCCUGUUCCCAACAAUGACAAGCACCCCAGUCACUUAGGUGGGGUUACCUGUCAUCCAGGGAAGACUCAGAGAGAGAAAGUGAGUGAUUCUUGUGAUGUCAUUCAAAACUGGCUCCAGCUGCCCUGCCUCUACCUCAGGAUCCCAGCCCUACAUCUUUGCUGUGUGACCCUCAAUAGAUGUUCUUCCCUCUCUGAGACUCCAAGG